AAACCAGGAUUAGAUACCCUAUUAUUUUAGACUUAAAUGUUUAAUUACCUGAAUAUUAAUAGUUAUUUUCUUGAAACUCUAAGAAUUUGGCGGUAAUAUAUUUUUUUAGAGGAACCUGUUUUUUAAUCGAUGAACCACGAUACUUUCUACCUUUUAUAUUUAUUUGUAUACCUCUAUUUAGAAUGUUUUUUUAGGAUAAUUUUCUUUUUCUUUAUAAGUUUAAUUUUAGGUCAAGGUGCAGUUUUUUUUAGGUAAACAUGGGUUAUUUUUUUAAUAAACAACUAGUUAAGUUGUUUUGAAUUUGGAUUUAACAGUAAAUUUAAUUAAUUAAUUAUUUUGAAUAUUUUUUUAUAUUAUGUACAUAUCGCCCGUCACUCU
rnacentral:rRNA from 1 species